CGCACGGCGCACCCAGAACCCUUUGUGAACUUAUACCUACUGUUGCCUCGGCGUCAGGCCGGCCUCCUCACCGAGGCCCCCCGGAGACGGGGAGCAGCCCGCCGGCGGCCAACUAAACUCUUGUUUCUAUAGUGAAUCUCUGAGUAAAAAAACAUAAAUGAAUCAAAACUUUCAACAACGGAUCUCUUGGUUCUGGCAUCGAUGAAGAACGCAGCGAAAUGCGAUAAGUAAUGUGAAUUGCAGAAUUCAGUGAAUCAUCGAAUCUUUGAACGCACAUUGCGCCCCCUGGUAUUCCGGGGGGCAUGCCUGUUCGAGCGUCAUUUCAACCCUCAAGCCUGGCUUGGUGAUGGGGCACUGCUUCGAGAGGAGCAGGCCCUGAAAUUCAGUGGCGAGCUCGCCAGGACCCCGAGCGUAGUAGUUAUAUCUCGCUUUGGAAGGCCCUGGCGGUGCCCUGCCGUUAAACCCCCAACUUCUGAAAAUUUGACCUCGGAUCAGGUAGGAAUACCCGCUGAACUUAAGCAUAUCAAUAAGCCGGAGGA
rnacentral:rRNA from 1 species